GCGACGAUGGCGGCGCCUGGAGCAGUAGACUGAAUCUUGGUCGCUGGGAGCCUCGGACGGACGGCCUGGACGGUGGACGCUGCUCGGGCGAGGGAGGACGCUGCUCGGUGAAUUAGCUGCUCGGGCGAGGGAGGACGCUGCUCGGACGGACGGCCUGAACGGUGGACACCGGCCUGGACGGUGGACGCUGCACGGGCGGACGCGCCGGACGCUGCUCGGUGAGGGAGGACGGUGGACGCUGCUCGGUGAGGGCGGACGCGCCGGACGCUGCUCGAGGCCGCUGGAGGAGAGGUGAUGAGGCCGAUGGGCGAUGGAGCGCUCGGUGAGGGAGAUCUGCGCUCGGUGAGGCCGAUGGACGCUGCUCGAGUGCUCGGUGAGGUGCUUGGCUGCUUGUACAGAUCCGCUCGGGCGGACGCGGUCGCGGACGGACGGGCGCUCACCGGCUCGCCGCUCGGUCUGGCCUCUGGCGGCGGUGCGGCGCCUCACGCGGCUGGGGCCUGGUAUUGGCGACCUGGCGGCGCGGCGUGCUGUGCUGUGCUGGUGACUGGA
rnacentral:lncRNA from 7 species